rnacentral:rRNA from 1 species
UACGGAGGAUGCAAGCGUUAUCCGGAAUUACUGGGCGUAAAGCGCACGUAGGUGGCGACGUAAGUCGGGUGUGAAAGCCCCGGGCUCAACCUGGGAAUUGCAUUCGAGACUGCAUUGCUGGAGUACGGAAGAGGAAGGCGGAAUUCCCGGUGUAGCGGUGAAAUGCGUAGAUAUCGGGAGGAACAUCAGUGGCGAAGGCGGCCUUCUGGUCCAGUACUGACACUCAAGUGCGAAAGCGUGGGGAGCAAACAGG